rnacentral:rRNA from 1 species
AUGAGAUGGAUCUGUACUGUACAUCACCAAAUCUCUAUACCGUCUCAUACAACGACGAUACAAGCAAGACUAAAGCAGGCACAUAUACACGAUUUCCAGUCAAAACACCGUAAGGGACCAAGAGGGAUCACCAAGGACCUUACCCAUGAGGGACGCCUCGAGGAGGUGGCGCGAGAAGAGGACCUGGUCGGUGGGAGAGAGGGCGGCGCCGCCUCCGGCCUCGGGGUCCCCGGCGCGGCCGCUGAUCUCGGCCAUGCUGUAGAGCGUGGAGGCGAGGAGCGUGAUGACGACGCCGGCAACGGUCUUGACGGCGACGGGCGCCCGGCGGCCGCGCUUGAGGCGGUCGAGGCCCAGCAUGGCGAGCUUCCGCAGCGGCGUCUUGAAUAG